GGAAGUGGGGAGGCUCCACUCCGUCCGCACCUCGGCGCGCCCUCAUGCCCCCUCCCUUCUCCGCAAGGGGCCCUGGCACGCCUCCUCCCCGACCGAGGAGCGCGCGGCGUGGGCGGGCGCGCGGAGAGAGACCUCGGAGAGUAGACGGCCAGUGCCCGGCAGCGAAGUCCGCUUGCCGCGAAACCCGGGUCGAGCCAGGCCCCUCGGCGGCUCCGAAGACUGCGGCGGCCGGAAGUGCGUGCACGUCACUUCCGAGCGGUGCAGUGGCGGCCGCUAGGAAGAUGGCUGCGCCCUGUGGCUCGGAGCGGCCCGCCAACUCGCCGCUUAAAAUCCCGAAGAUGGAGGUGCUGUCCCCUGCCUCUCCUGGUGGCCUGAGCGACGGAAACCCUUCACUGUCCGACCCUUCCACGCCUCGAGGCGCCUCCCCGCUCGGGCCUGGCAGUGCAGCGGGCUCGGGGGCAGCGCCGUCAGGGGGUCUCGGGCUGGGGCUUGGGGGGCGCAGCGCCGCCUCGUCCUGGGGAGCCCCGGCCGCCGCCUGCCGCGGCAUGUCGUGGACGCCGGCCGAGACCAACGCGCUCAUCGCAGUGUGGGGAAACGAGCGGCUGGUGGAGGCACGGUACCAGCAGCUGGAGGGAGCCGGCACGGUAUUCGGCAGCAAGGCCCCCGGGCCGGCCAUGUACGAGCGCGUGUCCCGGGCCCUGGCCGAGCUGGGCUACGAACGGACCCCGUCCCAGUGCCGGGAGCGCAUCAAGCUGGUUCGAUGCCCAGAACUGAAUGCUGUGCUCCAGCUGUGGCCUCACCGGUGCUGAAUAGAGAGGAAGAGCCACCUUCAUAGCUUACAUGUGAUUCCUCUGCUUACACAACCCAAUGCUGGAUGUACUUACUUUGGCAAGAUAGCUGCAUCGUGCACUGUAUUCGAUGUUACGUGUGCUGUGACCCUGGGUCUUUCUCUGCAUCGCUGCUGUCCAACCCCAUCCUGCCCCUCUCCAGUCCCUGCCUCCGUUCACCUGCCCCCUCCCCACCCCUGUAGACUCCCCUCACACUCAUCCACAGUGAAUGUCAUCUUUAUUCUCUCAUCUCUCUGCACUCUAAUCUUGCUCUUUGGCAAACUUUCCCUCUGUCUAUACAGUGUCAGCUGUUAGCCAUCUUACUUCCCCCCCGCUUUGGCAAUGGGCACCCUCGGGUCUUCUCACGGCCUCUUUCCUGGUGUUUCCAGUGGACAUCUGGCGCGGUGGGUGUAGUCGGCAUUCGCCUGGCACUUCUUCCCCAUCGCAUCCACGUGACCUCCUGAUUUGACCUGCUGAUCAAGUCAUUACUGACACUUGAGUUUCUCUGUCCAGAUUUUCUUGACUCCCCUGCCCUCUGUCCAGGUGACCUCAUUCCAGGUACAGUCCCUCCCCCAGCUACCCCUGGGAGGAGGCAGUCCCCUUGUUUCACCACAGAAAUUUCUAACAAUACGGAAAGUCCUUCUUAGUUGUGAAUAGAAUAGUCUUUAAUAAUUUUAAGCAAAUUCUUUCUCCCCUGAGAUCUUAGUUGUUUUUGUUUUUGAUUUUUUUGAAUGCUAGAGCGUGAAGUACUGUACAUUUCUGAGGUAAGUCAGGUAAAGGAAGAAGGAAGGGAGAGAGGCCUUUGUGCUGAGCAGGAAGUAGGACGUGGUCCUCCAGGAAAAGCGACACUGAGGUCCCUGCUGGGCGUGGUGCAGCUGCCUGCAGUGGGAGGCGAGACUCAUUUCUCCUGGGUUCGGGAGCAUUGUCUGGAUUUCCAAUUUAGAGUGCAUUUUUAAGUUGGUUUAUUUAGGACUGUUGGUACACAGACACACAGUGGCUGAAGUGUGUGCUUCGGUGAGUCAUUUUGAGCGUGGAAGGUGAUAAGAACUUGUCUGAUGAUAAGAAUUGGAAGGUCCACAUAUGUCCUUUUUAUCCAUUCCUAAAAUCCCUCAAGUUCAACUGAAUCCCAGUGUUUCUUCUCAAGGUCAAGUUCUUACUUCUUAUCCUACUUUAGGUAAUGUGUCCUGUUUAGGCAGCCUUUCCUUGGCUCUGGUCUUUGCCUCACGUGUAUUUGUGUUUUGAGAACAUUAACGUCAGUUUGGAAAUCUUUCUAACGGUAUUUUAAUGCAUCCAGUUUUAUCAUAAUAAUUUAGGGUUACCAAACAUUUCUUCCUCAGACCCGUGCUAGACAUUUUACGUAUCAGCACAUUGACUGUUACCCAAGUUCAUUACAGAGUGAGACAUGUAAUGCAUAUCAUUUGAUUCUUCUUUCUUAUCUAAAGCUAUUCAAUAUCCCUCGUUUUCUUACUCACAAUUACAUAAACCAAGUGAAAACUUAAACUCGGUUCUGGUGGUUUAGAGAAAGGAAAUCUUUCCUGUGGUUCCCCACUGUAUUGUCAGAGGUCUGUGGCUUUGUUUAUGCCCAGUCACAUCCUGAUAAGGGAGGCACCUUUCUUCAAGGGACCAGUAGUUGUAUUUCCUGACUUGGGAUUGAUGUGACCUCAGUGACAGAGCUGACUGGUCCCUUUGCUGCUGAAGGCUUUUCUCUAGGCGGCCGUCAGCAGAGCUUGGCUUUAUCUCCAUGUAUGGCCUGGGAAGGGCAGCAGAGACACAGCCGGGCCUCUCCAUUUACGGUCCCCGGAGGAGUCGGAAAGAGUGGUUGGGGUGUUCUUGGAGGCAGCAAGUAGACAUGGCGAGAUAAAAAUAAAUGGGCAGAUGUUUGCAAUUCCAAUUCUAGUCUCUGCCAGGAGGGCAGAGGGCACUGGGACGGGGGGCGGGGUGUGCAGUGAGCCUGCUGAGCCCCAGGGCGGGCAUCUGUCUCCCUCCAUCGAAGGCUGCCCACGACACAUUCCCCAAGUUCAUUUGUUCUAGAAAGUCUUGUAUGUAUACUUGUGACUCUCCUACAAAGACAAGGAAGGAGCCCCUUUAAAGAGUGUAUUUUGAGAGACCCCAGCUCCUUAAGACGUCACUGGAGGCACCAGAGGGAGCUGAGAGGGAGAAUGGGGAAGGCGCUUCUGCAGGGGCAGGCCGGCUGGGCCCAGGGGCAGGUGGCACCGGUCACUGCUCCGUUGGUGUCGGAGGACAGUGUCUUCACCCGCGUCCCGCUCUUAUUGUUCCCUUUGCCCGCGUGGAUUUCUGGCAUCAAGGGAAGUGUCGGACAGUGUCUCGUCAUUUGUCGGCUGUGAUGUAAAGAUGCUGAAUUUUCACAGAGGCUCUGUAAAGGACUCUUGAGUUAGUGCGGGGAGAACAGGUAACAUACUGGCUUAUGGAAGUAAUCUCACGUCUAGGAGAAACGUAGAGUCUGGCUAAGGCGUCUACGGGAAGUCAGAGGCAAACUGGUCUUGUGGAGGUGUGUGGGAGCCCCCAGACAAAAAGGGCCUUCUUUUCCCAAGGAAGUUCUCAGAGUGAAACCCAGCAAAGCAGAAGGAACAACGGGAGGGACAGACGGGACAAAGAGGGGAUACAACUGAACUAAAUUUGGAAGCUGGGACCAAGUCCUUGAUUCGUCUUUCGCAAUAUCAUACGAGAUAGCAUAAGAUGUGUUAUUAAACUAAGGACGCUGGGCUAAUAAUGAGAAACAUGGCCUAGAAGACCAUGAAGACAAUCGAAGUUGUAUGUGGACUUUCCUAGUGAUAUUUAUUUGCUGUGCACUACAAGGUAGAAAAACAAGUAAAAUGACACCUCUGCACCUCACUUUCAUCCCCGAAAAGAAAUGAUUGGCCACAUUUGUUGGUUUCUUUAGCCGGCAGUUUGAGCGGUCUGCUUGGCUUCUUUUUAGAUGUAGGCAUUAGUAGUGUAUUGCUUCUUGAGCAUCGAUCCUUGAGACUCGGAAUCUGCAGCAUUAUUUACUUGACUUCUUUGAAAUUUUAGCAACUUCCCAAAGGCAUAGGAAGUUAGUAAGGAAUGUGGACUAUGUGAGAAAUGUUUCACUAGUCGUUUCGCUCAGGCAUAUGUUCUCACCCUGUAUUCCUUCUUAGUGAAGAGUAAGGAUGGUUUUACUCUUGGCUUUGGGCAAUUCUUCUUUCUGUCCUCCCUCCCUCACUCUCCCCAAAUUCCGGCACAGUAGCAGCUCUCUCUCUUCUGUGGCAGACCCUUCGCAGGUGUUACAGUCGGGUGAAAGAACAUGGUGUUGGGAAAAGAAAGAG